rnacentral:misc_RNA from 1 species
AACUGAUACUACCUGCGGGAACCUGCGGAGGGAUCAUUAGUGAAGAUUUGGGCAGGCCAUACGGACGCCAAAAAGUGUCCCUGGCCGCCUACACCCACUAUACAUCCACAAACCCGUGUGCACUGUCUUGGAGAAAGGCUUCAGAGAAGUUUUUUGUGGCCUCUCUCUUGGGGUCUUUCUUCGCUACAAACUCGAAUGGUUAGUAUGAACGUGGAACUUGGUUGGACCGUCACUGGCCAA